rnacentral:lncRNA from 1 species
CUAUUACACAUAUGAGUAUUAGAAAUUAUAGUUUUUAACAAGAUCAACUUCUUUCAUCAACAAUUUCUUCAUCAAAACUUAAAGAUAAAAAUCAAAUUCCUUCCUUAUCUACCAUAAUCGAAUGUUCAAUUCAACCAUCCACAUUCAAAGUUUUGGCAUGGGCUAAGUAAGUAGCAUGAUGAGUAACCUAAAACAAACUAGAAUUUCAAAAAUCUAACUUGAUUUACUAACCUUUCUUAGGUUUCAAAUGGC